CUGGGUCGUCGGAUCGACCCCUGGAGCGACCUCGUCCGUCGGAUCAAAAAAAAUUACUGCUGGAAUGAAUAGUUACCGUCUCGUUCGUGCCGCCGUGCGUAAAUAGCUUGCCCCGCCGAGGGCAAUUUCGUCACUUCGCCUAUACCUAUAUAUGGCGCCAUCUGCCGUGGAGACCUAGCCGCCGCCGCCUCCUCCUCCUCCUCCUCCCGCAGUCGCUCCUCCUCCACCCCUCCCCGCACUCGCUCCCUCCUCCACCCCUCCCGUGGCCAGAGCUAACCACACGCCACCGCCAUCUCCUCCAUCCAUCGGCCGCCACCUUCGCCGGCUCCUCCCCCAACUCCCCCCCCCCCCCCCCCCCCCCGCAUCUCCUUCCCGUCUUCAGGCCGCGUGCUGCCACCACCCUUCCUCCUCUCCUUCCAUUAUUCCCCUCCCCUAACCCUAGAAAUGGAAGAGGGGGGCCGGUCGUCCGCGGCGCCGUGGCCGCCGUCCAGAACGCUCGCCGGCGUGGAUGCGUGGUGCGAGGCUGGGGAUGCUGUCCCCGCGUUGCUGGUGGAGACGGAGACCCGGUGGCCGACCGACAUGUGCAGCACCGCCCGCAACUGCUUCCAUGGCUUCCUCGGCCACCUUGUGAUGGAGAUGCCUCCCUGCUUCACCAAUGCUAGAUGCUUGCUUAUGUGGUUGCAGAUCGACUUGCGAUAUGUUAAGCGAAUCACCAUGUCACGCAAUGAGCAAUUAGAGAAGAGUGUUUCACAAAGGUGAGAUAAAUGAUGAUGUAAUAAUGGAUGCCUUCUGAAUGCUGCAUGUGCGGUUCCCGAAUUGGACCGUAUAUUUUUGCCAAGAUCUUCAAGUAUGGCAUUUGCUUAAUUCUCUAACAUCUGCCAUUUAAAGUUCCUCUCUUUGCUUCUAAUCAAUCAGUGUAGAUACUACUCCCUCCGUUCUUAAAUAUAAGUCUUUUAGAAAUUUCAAUGAGGACUACAUACGGAUGUAUAUAGACAUAUUUUGAAGUGUAGAUUCACUCAUUUUACUCUGUAUGUAGUCUAUAUUGGAAUCUCUAAAAGAACUUGCAUUCAAGAACAAAGGAAGUAUUUUCUUAAGUUUUUGUGCAACAACAGAAUUAACAAUUGUUUGUUCUGUUUA